rnacentral:misc_RNA from 1 species
UUAACUAUUAUAUAGUACUCAGACGGCACAGAUUCAAGGGUUUAGGUCCUCCGGCCCGCGAGGGCCAAAGCAACUGAGGUUGGGUACGCACGGGGUGAGAAGGGGGCCCGGAGGCCGCGCCAUUCUUUAAUGAUCCUUCCGCAGGUUCACCUACGGAAA